rnacentral:rRNA from 1 species
AUUGAACGCUGGCGGCAUGCCUUACACAUGCAAGUCGAACGGCAGCGGGCCUUCGGGUGCCGGCGAGUGGCGAACGGGUGAGUAAUGCAUCGGAACGUGCCAUUGAGUGGGGGGAUAACGUAGCGAAAGUUGCGCUAAUACCGCAUAUUCUGUGAGCAGGAAAGCAGGGGACCGCAAGGCCUUGCGCUCUUUGAGCGGCCGAUGUCAGAUUAGCUAGUUGGUGAGGUAAAGGCUUACCAAGGCGACGAUCUGUAGCGGGUCUGAGAGGAUGAUCCGCCACACUGGAACUGAGACACGGUCCAGACUCCUACGGGAGGCAGCAGUGGGGAAUUUUGGACAAUGGGGGCAACCCCGAUCCAGCCAUGCCGCGUGAGUGAAGAAGGCCUCGGUUGUUAAAGGACUCUUUCGGUCCGGGAACGGAAAGUACGC